ACUACCUAGGGAUCUUAUUAAAAUGCAGAUUCUGAUCAGUAAGUCUGGAGUGUGGCCUGAGGUCUGCAUUUCUAACAAGCUCCCAGGUGAUGCUGA
rnacentral:pre_miRNA from 1 species